GUGGGGAAUAUUGCGCAAUGGGCGAAAGCCUGACGCAGCGACGCCGCGUGAGGGAUGAAGGUCUUCGGAUCGUAAACCUCUGUCAGCAGGGAAGAACGGUCACUGUGCUAAUCAGCAGUGAAUUGACGGUACCUGCAAAGGAAGCACCGGCUAACUCCGUGCCAGCAGCCGCGGUAAUACGGAGGGUGCGAGCGUUAUCCGGAUUUAUUGGGUUUAAAGGGUGCGUAGGCGGAACGCCAAGUCAGCGGUAAAAUUGCGGGGCUCAACCUCGUCGAGCCGUUGAAACUGGGUGCCUUGAGUGGGCGAGAAGUAUGCGGAAUGCGUGGUGUAGCGGUGAAAUGCAUAGAUAUCACGCAGAACUCCGAUUGCGAAGGCAGCAUACCGGCGCCCAACUGACGCUCAGGCACGAAAGCGUGGGUAUCGAACAGGAUUAGAUACCCUAGUAGUCC
rnacentral:rRNA from 1 species